rnacentral:lncRNA from 1 species
GGAGAAAUUCUAGUAUGCAGCGCGUACACCACGUCACCUUUAUCACCGGCCAAUAAUAGCGCGACACCUCAGCAGCCAAUUAAAUUGAGAAGAAAAAUCAAACAGCACUAACGCCGUUUCCCUAGCAAUUUGAAAUUAUCGAAAAUUGGUGCCCGAGUUUUAGCGGGAGUUUUUAAUCUCUCUCUCUCUCUCUCUCUCUCUCUCACAGAUUAGUCCAUGAAAAAAGGGGGGAAAAAAUUUCCAUCGAGAUAACCCAGACACUCUGCUUCCCCGUUGCUUGCCGAGGCCACCAUUGAUGCCACCGUCGCAGACGACGACUCCGGCUGCACCGAUGACUUUAUGAUGCCAGUCUAAUUGCCGCCGCCGACGUUCUCGCACGACGCCCCUCUUGCUCAGUAAUGCUUACCGACUCCGACCGCGUCCUCCACUUUAAUUUGCUUGCCACCGAGUUCCACUGGCUCCUUCGUAAUUUUCUUUUCCUUCUCAAUGCUCCUUUGUAAUUUUUUUUCCCUUUCCAUCUAAUUUAUAUUCUCUACAUAAGUAGGCUGUACUUAUUGUGCAUGUUUUUCUUUAAAAAAAAAACCUAUUUUUUAAUUCUUAGGAAUGCACCAAGUAAUACUAAUUUGGAUGAAGAUAUUAGUAAAGUGUAUGAAGAAAACCGUCAACUUCAUCGCAUUUUAAAAUUACAGAGUAUUUUGAAACAAUUUUUUUCCCCUAUCAUUGACACAUGCAUCAACUUUUCAUAUUUUGGAUCCAAUAAUUUUAAUCUAAAAAUUAAAAAUUUUACUAAAUUUAGCUAUGAUUCGAUUAAAUUUAUAACUUUUUUUUUUAAUAUUUUCAAAUUUGUUGAGCAACAUGAGCUGCUAGUUUGCAAGCAAAGUAGUCAAUUAAAAGUCCUAAUUAGUAUUAAUUCGUAGCAUUUUAGCUAAUAAAGUAUGAUGUUCUUUAGCUCUUUUGCAAACUGAAACUCAAUCUUUCUCCAUCAUAGGUUGAAUGGCUGCAUCAAUUAGGAAUCAUGUCAUGGUCGACAAAACGAAUGAUAACAGCAUCUGGGAGUAUAUAAAUAUAGAUGCUUAUGAUAAAAAACUUGAAGUGGGUAUAAUAGUUAAUUCUGAAGACGAAGCUUACAAUCUCUACAAUGAAUAUGCAUUGAGGAAGGGUUUUAGCAUAAGAAAAGGAAACAAACGAUUAGUCGAUGGGGUUCUCCGACAACGAGAAUAUGUGUGCUCCAAAGCAGG